UGGCAUAGUGGUUAAGAGUUUGGUUGUUAAUCAAAAGGUCGGUGGUUUGAAUCCACC
rnacentral:tRNA from 1 species